GAUGAACGCUAGCUACAGGCUUAACACAUGCAAGUCGAGGGGUAGCAGGGUAGCAAUACCGCUGACGACCGGCGCACGGGUGAGUAACACGUAUCCAACCCUCCCAUAACUCUGGGAUAGCCUUUCGAAAGAAAGAUUAAUACCGGAUGGUACUUUUUCAAGGCAUCUUGAGAAAGUUAAAGAUUUAUUGGUUAUGGAUGGGGAUGCGUUCCAUUAGAUAGUUGGUGAGGUAACGGCUCACCAAGUCUUCGAUGGAUAGGGGUUCUGAGAGGAAGGUCCCCCACAUUGGUACUGAGACACGGACCAAACUCCUACGGGAGGCAGCAGUGAGGAAUAUUGGUCAAUGGGCGAGAGCCUGAACCAGCCAAGUAGCGUGAAGGACGAAGGUCCUAUGGAUUGUAAACUUCUUUUAUAGUAGAAUAAAGUGAUCCACGUGUGGACUUUUGUAUGUAUACUAUGAAUAAGGAUCGGCUAACUCCGUGCCAGCCGCCGCCGUAA
rnacentral:rRNA from 1 species